rnacentral:rRNA from 1 species
GACGAACGCUGGCGGCGUGCUUAACACAUGCAAGUCGAACGGUAAGGCCCUUCGGGGUACACGAGUGGCGAACGGGUGAGUAACACGUGGGUGAUCUGCCCUGCACUUCGGGAUAAGCCUGGGAAACUGGGUCUAAUACCGGAUAGGACCACUGCCUGCAUGGGGGGUGGUGGAAAGCUUUCGCGGUGUGGGAUGGGCCCGCGGCCUAUCAGCUUGUUGGUGGGGUGAUGGCCUACCAAGGCGACGACGGGUAGCCGGCCUGAGAGGGUGACCGGCCACACUGGGACUGAGGUACGGCCCAGACUCCUACGGGAGGCAGCAGUGGGGAAUAUUGCACAAUGGGCGCAAGCCUGAUGCAGCGACGCCGCGUGAGGGAUGACGGCCUUCGGGUUGUAAACCUCUUUCAGCACCGACGAAGCGCAAGUGACGGUAGGUGCAGAAGAAGGACCGGCCAACUACGUGCCAGCCGCCGCAGUAA